rnacentral:rRNA from 1 species
CGGCGGCCAUGGCCCAGGUGAGACGCCCGGUCCCAUUCCGAACCCGGAAGCUAAGGCUGGCACGGCGAUGGUACUGCACCCGACAGGGUGUGGGAGAGUAGCACGCCGCCGCA